rnacentral:rRNA from 1 species
UACAGGGGGGGCGAGCGUUGUUCGGAAUUAUUGGGCGUAAAGGGUGCGUAGGCGGGUUUUUAAGUCAGGGGUGAAAUCCUGGAGCUCAACUCCAGAACUGCCUUUGAUACUGAAGAUCUUGAGUUCGGGAGAGGUGAGUGGAACUGCGAGUGUAGAGGUGAAAUUCGUAGAUAUUCGCAAGAACACCAGUGGCGAAGGCGGCUCACUGGCCCGAUACUGACGCUGAGGCACGAAAGCGUGGGGAGCAAACAGG